rnacentral:rRNA from 1 species
GAUGAACGCUGGCGGCGUGCCUAAUACAUGCAAGUCGAGCGAACAGACGAGGAGCUUGCUCCUCUGACGUUAGCGGCGGACGGGUGAGUAACACGUGGAUAACCUACCUAUAAGACUGGGAUCACUUCGGGAAACCGGAGCUAAUACCGGAUAAUAUCUUGAACCGCAUGGUUCAAUAGUGAAAGACGGUUUUGCUGUCACUUAUAGAUGGAUCCGCGCCGCAUUAUCUAGUUGGUAAGGUAACGGCUUACCAAGGCAACGAUGCGUAGCCGACCUGAGAGGGUGAUAGGCCACACUGGAACUGAGACACGGUCCAGACUCCUACGGGAGGCAGCAGUAGGGAAUCUUACGCAAUGGGCGAAAGCCUGACGGAGCAACGCCGCGUGAGUGAUGAAGGUCUUCGGAUCGUAAAACUCUGUUAUUAGGGAAGAACAAAUGUGUAAGUAACUAUGCACGUCUUGACGGUACCUAAUCAGAAAGCCACGGCUAACUACGUG